CCUACGGGAGGCAGCAGUGGGGAAUAUUGGACAAUGGGGGCAACCCUGAUCCAGCCAUGCCGCGUGUGUGAAGAAGGCCCUCGGGUUGUAAAGCACUUUCAGUGAGGAAGAACGCCUGGUGGUUAAUACCCAUCAGGAAAGACAUCACUCACAGAAGAAGCACCGGCUAACUCCGUGCCAGCAGCCGCGGUAAUACGGAGGGUGCGAGCGUUAAUCGGAAUUACUGGGCGUAAAGCGCGCGUAGGUGGCUUGAUAAGCCGGUCGUGAAAGCCCCGGGCUCAACCUGGGAACGGCAUCCGGAACUGUCAAGCUAGAGUGCAGGAGAGGAAGGUAGAAUUCCCGGUGUAGCGGUGAAAUGCGUAGAGAUCGGGAGGAAUACCAGUGGCGAAGGCGGCCUUCUGGACUGACACUGACACUGAGGUGCGAAAGCGUGGGUAGCAAACAGGAUUAGAUACCCCAGUAGUC
rnacentral:rRNA from 1 species